rnacentral:rRNA from 1 species
AUUGAACGCUGGCGGCAGGCUUAACACAUGCAAGUCGAACGAGUGGCGGACGGGUGAGUAAUGCUUGGGAAUCUAGCAGAUGGAGGGGGAUCACUAAGGGAAGCUGUCGCUGAUACCGCGUAGCAUAGGAUGCGCACAAGUGGGAUUCGGUAGUGGGUGAGGUAAAGGCGCACCAAGCCGACGAUCUCUAGCUGGUCUGAGAGGAUGACCAGCCACACUGGGACUGAGACACGGCCCAGACUCCUACGGGAGGCAGCAGUGGGGAAUAUUGCACAAUGGGCUUAAGCCUGAUGCAGCCAUGCGGCGUGUAUGAAGAAGGCCGUCGGGUUGUAAAGUACUUUUAUUCGGGAGGCGUUACCGACAGAAUAAGCACCGGCUAACUCCGUGCCAGCAGCCGCGGUAAUAC